CUUCCUAGAAUCUGUAGACCUAAGAUUCCCCAGGGUCAGCCUCUGCCUGAGCUUGAAAGGACGCGAGGUGCCAAGACUCCGUGACAGCCCUGUGUCAGCGUCUGCCCUGCCAUCUGUCUCUGGACCGGGUAUUUCCUGACCUUCGCUGCCGUCAGUCAUCCCAGCGCUCGCCGCUUUUGGAUGAAUCUGGAUGUGUUGGUGGAUACUAUGCAUGAUUCUCAGAUCCACAGAGACAUGGUGAUGGAAGCAGCCUCAGAACUGAAGAUCUUGUAGACAAAGGCACUACUAUCCCUCUGCCCUGAGCAGGGCUACACUGUCCCCAGCAAUCUCUCCAGGGACAUCAAAGCAUAUGAAGACAGCUGUGGGACGUUCUCUUGCAUGAUGAUCGAAGUGGGAAGCAGUCCACUUUGGAUGGUGCCACCCUUGUGCAGAUUUCCUGGGAGGCAGAAGAAACGUAGCUGCACAUGAGCCUGAGAGCAAGGCAGUAAGCAGCUUUUCUCCUUGGCCUCUGUUUCAGUUCCUGCCCCCAACUUCCUGCCUUUAGUUCCUGCCCUGGUUUCCCCUCAUGAUAAAGUCUAAGCUGAAGACAAAUAAAUGAACGCCA